AACUUUCAACAACGGAUCUCUUGGUUCUCGCAUCGAUGAAGAACGCUGCGAAAUGCGAUAAGUAAUGUGAAUUGCAGAAUUCAGUGAAUCAUCGAAUCUUUGAACGCACAUUGCGCCCCUUGGUAUUCCGAGGGGCAUGCCUGUUCGAGCGUCAUUA
rnacentral:rRNA from 1 species